rnacentral:rRNA from 1 species
CUCUCGUGGAUUUUCGGGAGGAGGGUGCCUUCGGGAACUCUGUGACAGGUGCUGCAUGGCUGUCGUCAGCUCGUGUUGUGAAAUGUUGGGUUAAGUCCCGUAACGAGCGCAACCCUUAUCCCUAUUUGCCAGCAAUUCGGUCGGGAACUCUAGGGAGACUGCCGGUGACAAACCGGAGGAAGGUGGGGACGACGUCAAGUCAUCAUGGCCCUUACGGGUAGGGCUACACACGUGCUACAAUGGCAGGUACAAAGGGUCGCAAGACCGCGACGUGGAGCUAAUCCCACAAAGCCUGCCUCAGUCCGGAUUGGAGUCUGCAACUCGACUCCAUGAAGUCGGAAUCGCUAGUAAUCGUGAAUCAGAAUGUCACGGUGAAUACGUUCCCGGGUCUUGUACACACCGAA